UACGAAGGGGGCUAGCGUUGUUCGGAAUUACUGGGCGUAAAGAGCUCGUAGGCGGUUUGUCGCGUCUGCUGUGAAAACCCGAGGCUCAACCUCGGGCCUGCAGUGGGUACGGGCAGACUAGAGUGCGGUAGGGGAGAUUGGAAUUCCUGGUGUAGCGGUGGAAUGCGCAGAUAUCAGGAGGAACACCAAUGGCGAAGGCAGAUCUCUGGGCCGUAACUGACGCUGAGGAGCGAAAGCAUGGGGAGCGAACAGG
rnacentral:rRNA from 1 species